rnacentral:rRNA from 1 species
GAUCAUGGCUCAGGAUGAACGCUGGCGGCGCGCCUAACACAUGCAAGUCGAACGGCACCUGCCCUCGGGCAGAAGCGAGUGGCGAACGGCUGAGUAACACGUGGAGAACCUGCCCCCCUCCCCCCGGGAUAGCCGCCCGAAAGGACGGGUAAUACCGGAUACCCCGGGGUGCCGCAUGGCACCCCGGCUAAAGCCCCGACGGGAGGGGAUGGCUCCGCGGCCCAUCAGGUAGACGGCGGGGUGACGGCCCACCGUGCCGACAACGGGUAGCCGGG